AAUAAGCACAGUCAUAAGUUUCCGCGUCCAAUUUUAGUCGUCCGUCUUAUUUUUUUUAUAAUUAGCAUUUUUAUUGCUAUGAGAUGAUAAAACAUAAAUAGUACUUUACUCGUGACUUAUGUUUUAAUUUUUUAAAAAAAAAUUUAAAUAAGAUGAACGGUUAAAGUUCGACGCGAAAAAUCAUGGUUGCAAUUAUU
rfam:Oryza nivara chromosome 5, whole genome shotgun sequence.